rnacentral:rRNA from 1 species
CACGUAGGGGGCGAGCGUUGUCCGGAUUUAUUGGGCGUAAAGAGCGUGUAGGCGGCCUGGAAGGUCAGUUGUGAAAACUCGAGGCUCAACCUCGAGACGUCGGUUGAAACCACCUGGCUAGAGUCCGGAAGAGGAGUGUGGAAUUCCCGGUGUAGCGGUGAAAUGCGCAGAUAUCGGGAGGAACACCAAUGGCGAAGGCAGCUCACUGGGACGGCACUGACGCUGAGACGCGAAAGCGUGGGGAGCAAACAGGG